GACGAACGCUGGCGGCGUGCUUAACACAUGCAAGUCGAACGAUGAUCUCCCGCUUUCGUGGGUGUUUAGUGGCGAACUGGUGAGUAAUACGUGAGUAACCUGCCCUUGACUCUGUGAUAAGCCUGGGAAACCGGGUCUAAUACUGGAUACUACUUCCUGCCUCAUGGUGGGUGGUGGAAAGGGUUUUACUGGUUUUGGAUGGGCUCACGGCCUAUCAGCUUGUUGGUGGAGUAAUGGCUCACCAAGGCUACGACGGGUAGCCGGACUGAGAGGGUGACAGGCGACACUGGGAGUGAGAGACGGACCAGACUCCUACGGGAGGCAGCAGUGGGGAAUAUUGCACAAUGGGCGGAAGACUGAUGACGCGACGCCGCGUGAGGGAGGACGGAAUUUGGGUUGUAAACCUCUUUCAGCAGGGAAGAAGCGAAAAGUGACGGUACCUGCAGAAGAAGCGACGGCUAACUACGUG
rnacentral:rRNA from 1 species